AGCGAACGCUGGCGGCAGGCUUAACACAUGCAAGUCGAACGGGCGCAGCAAUGCGUCAGUGGCAGACGGGUGAGGAACACGUGGGAACAUGCCCUUUGGUUCGGAAUAACUCAGGGAAACUUGAGCUAAUACCGGAUAAGUCCGAAAGGAGAAAGAUUUAUCGCCGAAGGAUUGGCCCGCGUCUGAUUAGCUUGUUGGUGAGGUAACGGCUCACCAAGGCGACGAUCAGUAGCUGGUCUGAGAGGAUGAUCAGCCACACUGGGACUGAGACACGGCCCAGACUCCUACGGGAGGCAGCAGUGGGGAAUAUUGGACAAUGGGCGCAAGCCUGAUCCAGCCAUGCCGCGUGAGUGAUGAAGGCCUUAGGGUUGUAAAGCUCUUUUGUCCGGGAAGAUAAUGACGGUACCGGAAGAAUAAGCCCCGGCUAACUUCGUGCCAGCCGCCGCCGUAAUAC
rnacentral:rRNA from 1 species